rnacentral:rRNA from 1 species
CACGUAGUUAGCCGUGACUUUCUGGCGGGGCACCAUCAGUCAGCACCCAUUUCCUGAUGCUGCCCUUUUUCCCCCGCAACAGAGCUUUACGACCCGAAGGCCUUCUUCACUCACGCGGCAUCGCUCGUUCAGGCUUGCGCCCAUUGACGAAAAUUCCCUACUGCUGCCUCCCGCAGGAGUCUGGGCCGUGUCUCAGUCCCAAUGUGGCCGUCCGCCCUCUCAGGCCGGCUAUGCAUCAUCGUCUUGGUGGGCCUUUACCCGCCAACCAACUAAUGCACCGCAGGUCCAUCCGCGCCCCAUCCCCUAAGAGGAUGUUUCACAGAAAGAAGAUGCCUCCUUCCUGUACAUCGGGAUUUGUUCUCCGUUUCCAGAGCGUAUUCCCGGUGCGCGGGCAGGUUCCCUACGUGUUACUCACCCGUUCGCCACUAGAGACCCGAAGGUCUCUCGUUCGACUUGCAUGUAUUAGGCAUGCCGCCAGCGUUCAUCCUGAGCCAGGAUA